AGGUGUGAUCGAUCUAAGGUGCGAUCGGAUGGUCGAGAAACUAUAGGAGUCUGAUCAGGAGUCUAAUUCCGAUACAACUUGAGUUUUAUGGCCUUUAAGAGGCUCUAUGGGUGAACAGAGAGCGCGAUAGAGAGCCAUGAGCGGAGGCAUCAAUGCGAGGGAGGCUCGUGCAGCCAUUGGGAGGAGUCCGACAGAGCUUCGAGUGUGCUUAGUGGGCAGAGUAGAUCCUGCAGAGCACUGACAA
rnacentral:lncRNA from 1 species